rnacentral:rRNA from 1 species
UACGUAGGGUGCGAGCGUUGUCCGGAAUUAUUGGGCGUAAAGAGCUUGUAGGUGGUUUGUCGCGUCUGCUGUGAAAAUCCGAGGCUCAACCUCGGACUUGCAGUGGGUACGGGCAGACUAGAGUGUGGUAGGGGAGACUGGAAUUCCUGGUGUAGCGGUGGAAUGCGCAGAUAUCAGGAGGAACACCGAUCGGCGAAAGGCAGGUCUCUGGGCCAUUACUG